UACGACCACAUUACUUUGAAUCAGUGGUUACCAUACGAUCACCGCAGUUAAGCAAUGUCGAUCUUGGUCAGUACCAAGAUGGGUGACUACUUUGGAAAUACCAGGUGUCGUAAG